AUGGUCAUGAUCGAAAAUGUUCAUCCCACUUUUAAUUUUCUUUAUCCUUGUUCAUACUUUUUUACUCCUCAUCGGUACUCUUAUCAUAUAUCCAUUUCAGUCGAUCGCCGGCAAGGUUCCAUCGACUCCGAUGAACAUGCUCGGCCUAAGAAGAAGAAGACCACCACCAAGAAGAAGAAGCGGGCACCAUCCACAUGUUUGUCGGCCUCGGAUCCGGAUGAUGAGGACUAUGUUGGGGAGGAAGAGGAUGACAUUGCUCCAAGACACUCUGUUGGCCAGUCAAAACUAGGCACUCGAAGGGCUCCCGUGCCUCAGGUCUGUGGAGCUAUGCUACCAACUGAGCUUGCGUUGGUUUCCCCUUGA
rnacentral:rRNA from 1 species